UACGAAGGGGGCUAGCGUUGCUCGGAAUCACUGGGCGUAAAGGGUGCGUAGGCGGGUCUUUAAGUCAGGGGCGAAGUCCUGGAGCUCAACUCCAGAACUGCCUUUGAUACUGAGGAUCUUGAGUUCGGGAGAGGUGAGUGGAACUGCGAGUGUAGAGGUGAAAUUCGUAGAUAUUCGCAAGAACACCAGUGGCGAAGGCGGCUCACUGGCCCGAUACUGACGCUGAGGCACGAAAGCGUGGGGAGCAAACAGG
rnacentral:rRNA from 1 species